rnacentral:rRNA from 1 species
UACCAGCACCCCGAGUGGUCGGGACGUUUAUUGGGCCUAAAGCAUCCGUAGCCGGUUCUACAAGUCUUCCGUUAAAUCCAACUGCUUAACAGGUGGGCUGCGGAAGAUACUAUAGAGCUAGGAGGCGGGAGAGGCAAGCGGUACUCGAUGGGUAGGGGUAAAAUCCGUUGAUCCAUUGAAGACCACCAGUGGCGAAGGCGGCUUGCCAGAACGCGCUCGACGGUGAGGGAUGAAAGCUGGGGGGAGCAAACCG